UACGUAGGGGGCAAGCGUUGUCCGGAAUUAUUGGGCGUAAAGAGCUCGUAGGCGGUCUGUUACGUCCGCUGUGAAAACCCAGGGCUUAACCCUGGGCUUGCAGUGGAUACGGGCAGACUAGAGGCAGGUAGGGGAGAAUGGAAUUCCCGGUGUAGCGGUGAAAUGCGCAGAUAUCGGGAGGAACACCGGUGGCGAAGGCGGUUCUCUGGGCCUGACCUGACGCUGAGGAGCGAAAGCGUGGGGAGCGAACAGG
rnacentral:rRNA from 1 species